rfam:Gossypium arboreum cultivar AKA8401 contig_2371_7, whole genome shotgun sequence.
UAUUAAAAAUUUUAUUAAUUUUUUUCGUUAAAAAUUAGCAUGAAUAACAAAGUAACUAAAUGAUGACAUGUCAUACGUCAUGUAUGCCUCAUACUGAUAUAUAUAGACUAAUUUUAACAGAAAAUAUAGAUAAAAUUUUUAAUA